UACGGAGGAUCCGAGCGUUAUCCGGAUUUAUUGGGUUUAAAGGGUGCGCAGGCGGGAGAUUAAGUCGGCGGUGAAAUUUUGCAGCUCAACUGUAAAAGUGCCUUCGAAACUGGUUUCCUUGAGUGUAGAUGAAGUAGGCGGAAUUUGUGGUGUAGCGGUGAAAUGCUUAGAUAUCACGAGGAACUCCGAUUGCGCAGGCAGCUUACUAAACCACUACUGACGCUCAUGCACGAAGGCGUGGGGAUCAAACAGGAUUAGAUACCCUGGUA
rnacentral:rRNA from 1 species